rnacentral:rRNA from 1 species
CCUGCGGAAGGAUCAUUAAUGAAUUCACUAUGGAGUUGUUGCUGGCCUCUAGGGGCAUGUGCACGCUUCACUAGUCUUUCAACCACCUGUGAACUUUUGAUAGAUCUGUGAAGUCGUCUUUCAAGUCGUCAGACUUGGUUUGCUGGGAUUUAAACGUCUCGGUGUGACAACGCAGUCUAUUUACUUAACACACCCCAAAUGUAUGUCUACGAAUGUCAUUUAAUGGGCCUUGUGCCUAUAAACCAUAAUACAACUUUCAACAACGGAUCUCUUGGCUCUCGCAUCGAUGAAGAACGCAGCGAAAUGCGAUAAGUAAUGUGAAUUGCAGAAUUCAGUGAAUCAUCGAAUCUUUGAACGCACCUUGCGCCCCUUGGUAUUCCGAGGGGCAUGCCUGUUUGAGUGUCAUUAAAUUCUCAAACUCACUUUGGUUUUUUCCAAUUGUGAUGUUUGGAUUGUUGGGGGCUGCUGGCCUUGACAGGUCGGCUCCUCUUAAAUGCAUUAGCAGGACUUCUCAUUGCCUCUGCGCAUGAUGUGAUAGUUAUCACUCAUCAAUAGCACGCAUGAAUAGAGUCUAGCUCUCUAAUCGUCCGCAAGGACAAUUUGACAAUUUGACCUC